GAUGAAGAACGCAGCGAAAUGCGAUAAGUAAUGCGAAUUGCAGAAUUUCCGUGAAUCAUCGAGUCUUUGAACGCACAUUGCACUCCUUGGUAUUCCGAGGAGUACGCCUGUUCGAGCGUCAUUACACUCUCAAGCGCUGCUUGGAUUUGAAUCACUGCCGUGGCAGGAUUCCAAUAUCGUUGGCAAUUGACCAUCUGUGAUGACUCACGCCGAGUUAAUUCGCCGGAACACUUCCUUUCAGUUGACCUCGGAUCAGGCGGGGAUACCCGCUGAACUUAAGCAUAUCAAUAAGCGGAGGA
rnacentral:misc_RNA from 1 species